rnacentral:rRNA from 1 species
GAUGAACGCUGACAGAAUGCUUAACACAUGCAAGUCAACUUGAACUUCGGUUUGGGUGGCGGACGGGUGAGUAACGCGUAAAGAACUUGCCUCACAGAUAGGGACAACAUUUGGAAACGAAUGCUAAUACCUGAUAUUAUGAUUAUAUGGCAUCGUAUAAUUAUGAAAGCUAUAUGCGCUGUGAGAGAGCUUUGCGUCCCAUUAGCUAGUUGGAGAGGUAACGGCUCACCAAGGCGAUGAUGGGUAGCCGGCCUGAGAGGGUGAUCGGCCACAAGGGGACUGAGACACGGCCCUUACUCCUACGGGAGGCAGCAGUGGGGAAUAUUGGACAAUGGACCAAGAGUCUGAUCCAGCAAUUCUGUGAGCACGAUGAAGUUUUUCGGAAUGUAAAGUGCUUUCAGUUGGGAAGAAAAAAAUGACGGUACCAACAGAAGAAGUGACGGCUAAAUACGUG